AAAAAUAAAAAAUAAAAAAAAAUUAGAAAAAAACUCCAAUGACAUAGGCAAAUCUCUAAUUUUGUCAAUACAUCUCCAUGUUAUAUUUUUAACGGUCUAGAAACCAAACAUAAUAGGACAAUGUAACAAUCAAAUUAUGAAUAAGGAAAAAUCAGUUGCACUUCCCAAGGUUUAACAACUCAAAUCAAUACAUAUCACACAUAAUCCUUCAUGAAAUUAGCUCAGCACAAAUUCAAACAAACUUAGUUUUGCAUUGAACAAGUGAUAAAACAACCUAUUAAAACCAAGAGAUAAACAAAACUUCAAAUUCAAAGCAACAGAAACCUCAUAAAUCAAUAUAAAUUACAGCAAUUACCCUAAUAGCUAUGGGUACAAUAACAAGAAAUAAUAACAUCACAUAUGGAAGAUAAAAAAAAAUAACCCAUAAGCACCAAAUUUUAUUUGAGCUAUAUGAAUUGAAGCUGAAAUUUCUGUAUCUCCGCUCAUGAAAUCAGUUUCCACCUUCAUAUUUUGCCCAAUCAAAACCCCAAUAAGGUAAAUGCGUAAUUUGAGGCAAAGAUGGAAAGGCUGGUGGGCAGCAAUGGCAUUUGAACUUA
rnacentral:misc_RNA from 1 species